rnacentral:rRNA from 1 species
CAGUAGCCACGGGAAUACAGAGGAUGCAAGCGUUAUCCGGAAUGAUUGGGCGUAAAGCGUCUGUAGGUGGCUUUUCAAGUCCGCCGUCAAAUCCCAGGGCUCAACCCUGGACAGGCGGUGGAAACUACCAAGCUGGAGUACGGUAGGGGCAGAGGGAACUUCCGGUGGAGCGGUGAAAUGCGUUGAGAUCGAAAAGAACACCAACAGCGAAAGCACUCUGCUGGGACGACACUGACACUAAGAGACGAAAGCUAGGGGAGCAAAUGGGAUUAGAGACCCCGGUAGUCCCUGUCUCUUAUAC